GCGAGCGGCAUGGUAGACAGUUUACAGCAGGCGAGGUAGGGGAGAGGACGCAGACUCACACUUCUCCUGGUGACUUGCUCUGCACCACAGCUUCCAUAAAGUACCGUAGCUCCCUGCAGACCCCAACAUGGUACACGAGUGUGUGUUGUGGUACAUGUACCCUCACUGAUGGUACAUAAGUGUCAACCACACCUUGUAUUACUGGUGCUGUGCUGUGUCACACAACCGAGUCAUUAACCAAGCUUCAACUCCACAUAACACAGUGAUGACGUCAGAGAGGAGUAUAGUUACGUCAGCGAGGUUGCCACUUCUUGUGUUGUGUGUGGUGGUCUGCUUUCCACUACACGUGGCAACACAGUACAUCAACGACCUCCAGGCAGUGGUGGUAGCAGCAGU